GCUUGACGGGGCUAUCCCGAGUGCCAUCCGCUGAGGAAGGCUUUUACCCAGUCUAGAACGCUGGGGGAAUAAGGAGAGGGCAAGUCUGGUGUCAGCCGCCGCGGUAAUACCAGCUCUCCGAGUGGUGUGGAUGUUUAUUGGGCCUAAAGCAUCCGUAGCUGGCUAAGUUAGUCCCUUGUUAAAUCCACCGAAUUAAUCGUUGGAUUGCGGGGGAUACUGCUUGGCUAGGGGACGAGAGAGGCAGACGGUAUUUUCGGGGUAGGGGUGAAAUCCUAUAAUCCCGGGAAGACCACCAGUGGCGAAGGCUGUCUGCUAGAACGCGCCCGACGGUGAGGGAUGAAAGCUGGGGGAGCGAACCGGAUUAGAUACCCGGGUAGUCCCAGCUGUAAACGAUGCAGGCUAGGUGUUUGGACGGCCACGUGCCGUUCUAGUGCCGCAGGGAAGCUGUUAAGCCUGCCGCCUGGGGAGUACGAUCGCAAGAUUGAAACUUAAAGGAAUUGGCGGGGGAGCAC
rnacentral:rRNA from 1 species